rnacentral:rRNA from 1 species
GAUGAACGCUGGCGGCGUGCCUAAUACAUGCAAGUCGAGCGAAUGGAUUAAGAGCUUGCUCUUAUGAAGUUAGCGGCGGACGGGUGAGUAACACGUGGGUAACCUGCCCAUAAGACUGGGAUAACUCCGGGAAACCGGGGCUAAUACCGGAUAACAUUUUGAACCGCAUGGUUCGAAAUUGAAAGGCGGCUUCGGCUGUCACUUAUGGAUGGACCCGCGUCGCAUUAGCUAGUUGGUGAGGUAACGGCUCACCAAGGCAACGAUGCGUAGCCGACCUGAGAGGGUGAUAGGCCACACUGGGACUGAGACACGGCCCAGACUCCUGCGGGAGGCAGCAGUAGGGAAUCUUCCGCAAUGGACGAAAGUCGGACGGAGCAACGCCGCGUGAGUGAUGAAGGCUUUCGGGUCGUAAAACUCUGUUGUUAGGGAAGAACAAGUGCUAGUUGAAUAAGCUGGCACCUUGACGGUACCUAACCAGAAAGCCACGGCUAACUACGUGCCAGCAGCCGCGGUAA